GAGCUCCUGCUCAGCUACUUCAACCUGCUGCUCACCAGGAUCCUCAGUAACGGCUCUUCUACUCGCCACAAUACAAACAAACACAGUGCAUAUAGAGAAAUGAACAUUACAUCAAACAUAUAUACAAAAUACACAGAGAUAUUCUACAUAAUAAAAUUCUAGGAACAUGAAUCAUAAUUUUUGGAGUUAUAGAAUUUAAGUUAUGCAUUUCCAAAGGUUUUAUGUGUUUAAAAAUAGGAUUAAGUGAGAAAUAAAUUUCUUACUGUUUUCAUGACAAAACAGAGGCUCUAGGUGAUAGAGAAUAAAACUACAAAAUUUUAGCAACUGGAAUGAAUUAAUUUGGACUUCAUAUACAUUUUCUAUGAAUUAUCAAAGUUCUAGCAAUUAUUUUCCUAUUGAAAAUCCAUUUAUAAAUUAUUUUCUCUGGUUUUACACUGCUCUGGACUAGGCCUCAUUUACCGGAAAGUACAGGGGGCUCGGGGUAAGAAACCCGAGACACAGCCAACAGUUACAAUGAACCGCGGGUUGUUUCCCUAAAAACAGAGGGUUCUAUUUGCAAAGUCGGCGAUCCGAAGGGGUAUCAGUGGUUUUCGGCCGUUGGAUCUCCAUCAGAUGGCACGGAUUAGAUCGCCCUAGGUCACAACCCCGCAAACCGUUGGAUCAGGAAUCCAUGCCCAGGAUUUGACCCGCGUGAUUAUGAACUAGCAAUCGCUUACAGCCGCCAGAUCUACGAUCGACGGCACGGAUCUUGAGACGCGAACGGGUACCCCAACUUCUAAUCUAGACCGCUCUUUUACAUAUCCACGACUGAGACAUGUCUUCCACCCCGGCCACAUGGAACAUGGCGGUGCCAGCUCCAUUCACGGCGGCGGAUCGCCGGAGUUCAAAUCCGGCCCACCCGUGCACGAAUUACCAAUUAAAUCAUACCACCUACGAUUGAUGCCACCCGGAACUCAAUUUCUCAUCCAAUUUUGGUCGACCCCGAGUGUAGGACCCGGUACACGGUGUACCGCGGUGGCGCCAUGGUCGGCCAGUGCACCCGGGGAUUCGGUUAUACCAUACCACAAGUCGCUAGGGCAUAACAUGGGAGAAGGGAAGACGAACACGAUGGGGACUUACCAAUGGUCGGCCGAGGUCAGACGACGCCCGUCCACGGAGCUUGGGCGGAACCCGCCUGCAGUGGUCACGGCGGCGAGCAAUUCGCCCACCGCACCAACGCACGACUCCAAUCGCCGGCGCUGGCGGAAAUCCUAGACGACUACGACUCCACUUAGCCACACGCCGAAGCGAAUUCGCCCGCACCGAAGACGUUCACCGGCGACGCGACGGACACUUCCUGGCGGCGUCGAUUCCUUCCCCUAAUUCUCUCUCUCUCCGCAACGGUGGGGUUCACGAGGGUCUGCCACGGAAUACUGGAGGGAUAGGGAGGCACCAAGGGGGGUUCUUAU
rnacentral:lncRNA from 1 species